GAUGAACGCUGGCGGCGUGCCUAAUACAUGCAAGUCGAGCGAACGGACGAGAAGCUUGCUUCUCUGAUGUUAGCGGCGGACGGGUGAGUAACACGUGGAUAACCUACCUAUAAGACUGGGAUAACUUCGGGAAACCGGAGCUAAUACCGGAUAAUAUUUUGAACCGCAUGGUUCAAAAGUGAAAGACGGUCUUGCUGUCACUCAUAGAUGGAUCCGCGCUGCAUUAGCUAGUUGGUAAGGUAACGGCUUACCAAGGCAACGAUGCAUAGCCGACCUGAGAGGGUGAUCGGCCACACUGGAACUGAGACACGGUCCAGACUCCUACGGGAGGCAGCAGUAGGGAAUCUUCCGCAAUGGGCGAAAGCCUGACGGAGCAACGCCGCGUGAGUGAUGAAGGUCUUCGGAUCGUAAAACUCUGUUAUUAGGGAAGAACAUAUGUGUAAGUAACUGUGCACAUCUUGACGGUACCUAAUCAGAAAGCCACGGCUAACUACGU
rnacentral:rRNA from 1 species